rnacentral:piRNA from 1 species
UGUGAGAAUCGUGUUAUGCAACUGAGC